UACGUAGGGUGCAAGCGUUAAUCGGAAUUACUGGGCGUAAAGCGUGCGCAGGCGGUUAUGCAAGACAGAUGUGAAAUCCCCGGGCUUAACCUGGGAACUGCAUUUGUGACUGCAUAGCUAGAGUACGGUAGAGGGGGAUGGAAUUCCGAGUGUAGCAGUGAAAUGCGUAGAUAUGCGGAGGAACACCGAUGGCGAAGGCAAUCCCCUGGACCUGUACUGACGCUCAUGCACGAAAGCGUGGGGAGCAAACAGG
rnacentral:rRNA from 1 species